ACACAUGCAAGUCGAACGGUAACAGGAAGANCUUGCUUCUUUGCUGACGAGUGGCGGACGGGUGAGUAAUGUCUGGGAAACUGCCUGAUGGAGGGGGAUAACUACUGGAAACGGUAGCUAAUACCGCAUAACGUCGCAAGACCAAAGAGGGGGACCUUCGGGCCUCUUGCCAUCGGAUGUGCCCAGAUGGGAUUAGCUAGUAGGUGGGGUAACGGCUCACCUAGGCGACGAUCCCUAGCUGGUCUGAGAGGAUGACCAGCCACACUGGAACUGAGACACGGUCCAGACUCCUACGGGAGGCAGCAGUGGGGAAUAUUGCACAAUGGGCGCAAGCCUGAUGCAGCCAUGCCGCGUGUAUGAAGAAGGCCUUAGGGUUGUAAAGUACUUUCAGCGGGGAGGAAGGGAGUAAAGUUAAUACCUUUGCUCAUUGACGUUACCCGCAGAAGAAGCACCGGCUAACUCCGUGCCAGCAGCCGCGGUAAUACGGAGGGUGCAAGCGUUAAUCGGAAUUACUGGGCGUAAAGCGCACGCAGGCGGUUUGUUAAGUCAGAUGUGAAAUCCCCGGGCUCAACCUGGGAACUGCAUCUGAUACUGGCAAGCUUGAGUCUCGUAGAGGGGGGUAGAAUUCCAGGUGUAGCGGUGAAAUGCGUAGAGAUCUGGAGGAAUACCGGUGGCGAAGGC
rnacentral:rRNA from 1 species